rnacentral:tRNA from 1 species
GCGGGUGUGGCGAAAUUGGCAGACGCACUGGAUUCAGGUUCCAGCGUUUUAAACGUGCAGGUUCGAAUCCUGUCACCCGCACCA